GUUCCUGCUUGGAAAAGGUCACUCUCUCCCGCCCUGUGCAGGUCAAGUACAGGCCUAGAGAGCCCAUUGGAGAUCGGCUGCACAAUGGCUAUGAAUGCUGAUCACUUCAUAAGCACUCCCGGCCAUUCCCAGAAAGUUCUGGAUUUGGAGUCCACCCUCCUGGACCUGGAGGAAUUGCAAAGGAGCGAGGAGGAAGAGGGGGCGAUGCUUCGAACGUUUCCAGAUAAGAUUUUCAGCUACGAAGGAGUCGGUCUCCUUGGGCUGAGGGGAAGUUUACGGUAUGAGAGGGAGCAGUGAAGUAGCAUGGGUUAGGCGGGCUGGGGAAACCGCCAGGGCAGCGGGGGUCAGGAAAUGGUGUUCUCAGGGUCCCAUGGAAGAUGGUGUAGACGAUCCUGGAAAAGAAGGGAGCCUAGAGUAGUUGGACUUGGUCAGUGAUUUUCUUUCUAAGCAGGACGUCAGAACAGUGUUGCUCCUUCUGGUUUCUGGGAUCUCCUAGGACUUCUCAGCUCUGGAAAGCAGCUCUAUCAUUCACUGCUUUCUCUCUCUCUCUUUCUGUCACAGAACUGCCCUCCUUGGUAAGCUUGUUCUCCAGCUUCGAGACAAGUGGCUGCAAGAGGAAGACAACCGAGGCUGGCUUGCAUAGAGACGCAAAGCGAAGACAGCUAGGCGGAAACGAGGAUGAGUCAGUAGUUUCCCCAUACCCGGAACCGCUCAGGGAAACUCAGGACCUGCUGGAGUAUGUCAACCGGUUUGCACAGUCCCUUGCUGAGGAAGACAGCCCAAGCACAGGACCUUCCAGCUCACUUGGCCCAGCUUCUCCUGACCCUAAUCUGCAACAGAGACCAACGUCGACAAGAGCAGCACUAGAGGAGUUGGAGCGAAUCAUCCAAGAGCUCAGGGCUAAAGAUGAAUCUUGCCAGGCCGUCCUUUCCGAAGCAAUGGAAUAUGUCUGGGAGCCCUGACACAACAUCAGGACGUUCCAGCUCAUUUGGACUGGCUAAUUAUGCCCCAGCUUCUCAACAGAGACUGUCAUCACCGGGGAUGGCUCAAGAAGACUUGGAGCAAAUCAUUCAAGAGCUCGGUGCUAAAGAUGAAUCAUGCCAGGCCCUUCCUUCCAAUGUACUGGAUCAUCUCUCUGGAGGACCCUACCCGCCUAUUGCGGUGGAGCCGGUCCAAUCAGGAUGCUCCAGCUCAUUUGGGCCCACUUCUCCCGCCUCAGCUCCGCAGCAGAUACCGUCGUCACUGGCAGAGGCACAAGAAGAGUUGGAGCAAAUCAUUGAAGAGCUACUCACUAAAGAUGAAUCCACAUCCAAUGCAGGCGUGGACAGCCACCCUAGCGAGGCGAUCCCGGGAGCCAACCACAUUGUUCCAGUCACUAAAAUCUCACAGGAGAAGAAGUGCCGGCCUGACAGAUUCAGCGAGCAUCAACUCAGAGAGUUGUGGGCACGGUUUGAAGUCACGCGAUACCUGACGACUGAACAAGCUCAAUCCCUGUCUUCUCAGCUGGGUCUGACAAUGCUGCAGGUUAGAAACUGGUUCCGGAAUCACAGGAAGAAAUACAAGCUGUGGAUUGCCCCGAGACUUCAGACGCCCGUAAGAAUCUCUGUGGGGGACAUGCAGGGUACGCCACAGUGA
rnacentral:lncRNA from 1 species